rnacentral:rRNA from 1 species
AUGGCGGCGAAGGUGCUCCAGCUCCGUAGCUCCGACGGCAAGGUGCUCGUCGCUCCGGCGUGGGACUAUCGCCCGACCGCCGCCCAAGCCCUCCCGCUGGAGACGCGGGUGCCCUCGCGCGCCCUCGAGAGGGUGCUCCAGUACUGGACCAAGCACAACCUUGCCAAGGCCACCGGUGAGUCCCGGGAGUCCCUCGCCCGCUGGGAUGCCAACUUCCAGCGCCGUCUCGAGGAAGACGGCCUCGCCAAGGAGGCCGCUGCAGCCGCCCAAGAACUCCGCCGCUACGGCGUCGACCAUGGAGGGCGUCCCCAUCGCCACGCCGCCACGGCCGCAUCUGAUGUCGCUGCUCCUGCAAAGGCGGCCCGUGUUGAUCCCGUCCGUGUCUGGUGUGUCAACCACGGAGAACGCAGCCAUGCGCCGGCGAUGCCCGGCUCCUUCGAUGCCUCUGAUACUGCCUCCGCCGCGCGUCCUGGGCCUGCCACCACCUUGCCGGCCGCUGCUGGUGCUGACCCCGUGGACGUCCGGUGCGCGAUCCGUGCCCGUGGACGCCAGAUGGCUGAAGACGAGGAGUCCGCUUGCCACCACCGCAAGUGCCCGGCUUCCAAGGCUCCACUCUGCCUGCCUGCCACUGCUGUUGCGCCCGUGAAGAAGGUCUCUCGUCCCGUCGCUUCCAAGGCUCGCUCUUUCGUCGGCUCUACAACAUUGCAUGUUACUGCUGUUGCUCCCGGUGUGAAGAAGGCAACUCCAGCUUCAACUCUGCGUGCAAGAAGGGGGAUGGGGGAGCUCAGCUGCAAGAUUCCGAAGCAAAACCAUGUCACCGCUGCAGCACCAAUGAAGCAACCAAUUGCUUGGCUGCGUCCAGUGGUAUUACGCCCUUGCUAG